rnacentral:sRNA from 1 species
ACCUGACGAUAGUGUCGGCACACGAUCCGAGGUGUUGAUGUUCGUACAGUGCUGUGCCAGUUCCGGCGACCGUUAUUGUUCUACUGUCCCCUCCUUGAUUGAUUCGUGGUCCCGGGCACUAGCCCAUUAAAUCUCUAGGAAAUACAGUAUGGAAACCGGCGUCGUUAAAUGGUUCAACGCGGAAAAAGGUUAUGGCUUCAUUACGCCUGAGUCGGGCGGCAAAGACCUGUUCGCGCAUUUUUCUGAAAUCCAGGCCAACGGCUUCAAGUCCCUGGAAGAAAACCAGCGCGUCAGCUUCGUGACCGCUAUGGGCCCCAAGGGUCCCCAAGCCACGAAGAUUCAGGUUCUGUAAGACCUGUUCUGACCCAGAAAAAGCCCCGCAAGGGGCUUUUUUGUUG